rnacentral:rRNA from 1 species
AAUMCCCUAUAGGUUACSGAUGCKGRAAUGCUCGGUAACUCAAAGUUCCGGCGCCUUAGGAUGGAUCUSCGSCCGAUUAGGGUAGUUGUGGGGGUAASGCCCCAMCAAGCCSGUAAUCGGUACGGKUGKGGGASCAAGAGCCCSGGAGUUGGAUUYURAGACASGAAUCCAGSCCYUASGGGGSGCAGCAGGCGSGAAAACUUUMCAAUGCGGGCAACCGUGAUAAGGGAACCUSGAGUGCCUGUACAUGCAGSCKGUYUGGGKUUYUAAAACACMCCCAAAGAAAGGGCCGGGCAAGACCGGUGCCAGCCGCCGCGGUAAUMCCGGCGGCUCGAGUGGUGGCCACUUUUAUUGGGCUUAAAGCGUUCGUAGCUGGGUUGUUAAGUCUCUUGGGAAAUCCGGCGGCUUAACCGUCGGGCGUCUAAGAGAUACUGGCAAUCUUGGAACCGGGAGAGGUGAGGGGUACUUCGGGGGUAGGAGUGAAAUCCUGUAAUCCUCGAGGGACCACCUGUGGCGAAGGCGCCUCACCAGAACGGCUUCGACAGUGAGGGACGAAAGCUGGGGGAGCAAACCGGAUUAGAUACCCGGGUAGUCCCAGCCGUAAACGAUGUKCGUUUGGUUAUCGACGACCACGAGUCGUCGAGGUGCGCGAAGGGAAACCGUGAAACCGUACCGCC